CUAAUACAUGCAAGUCGAGGGGUAGUGGAGCUUGCUCCAUGAGACCGGCGCACGGGUGCGUAACGCGUAUGCAACCUACCUUUAUCUGGGGGAUAGCCCGAAGAAAUUCGGAUUAACACCGCAUAAAAUCACAGUACCGCAUGGUACAAUGAUCAAAUAUUCAUAGGAUAGAGAUGGGCAUGCGUGUCAUUAGUUAGUUGGCGGGGUAACGGCCCACCAAGACCGCGAUGACUAGGGGAUCUGAGAGGAUGACCCCCCACACUGGUACUGAGACACGGGCCAGACUCCUACGGGAGGCAGCAGUAAGGAAUAUUGGUCAAUGGAGGCAACUCUGAACCAGCCAUGCCGCGUGCAGGAAGACAGCCCUCUGGGUCGUAAACUGCUUUUAUUCGGGAAUAAACCUGCUUACGUGUAAGCAGCUGAAUGUACCGAAGGAAUAAGGAUCGGCUAACUCCGUGCCAGCAGCCGCGGUAAUACGGAGGAUCCAAGCGUUAUCCGGAUUUAUUGGGUUUAAAGGGUGCGUAGGCGGCCUGUUAAGUCAGGGGUGAAAGACGGUAGCUCAACUAUCGCAGUGCCCUUGAUACUGAUGGGCUUGAAUACACUAGAGGUAGGCGGAAUGUGACAAGUAGCGGUGAAAUGCAUAGAUAUGUCACAGAACACCGAUUGCGAAGGCAGCUUACUAUGGUGUCAUUGACGCUGAGGCACGAAAGCGUGGGGAUCAAACAGGAUUAGAUACCCUGGUAGUCCACGCCCUAAACGAUGAAUACUCGCUGUUAGCGAUAUACAGUUAGCGGCUAAGCGAAAGCGUUAAGUAUUCCACCUGGGGAGUACGCCCGCAAGGGUGAAACUCAAAGGAAUUGACGGGGGCCCGCACAAGCGGAGGAGCAUGUGGUUUAAUUCGAUGAUACGCGAGGAACCUUACCCGGGCUUGAAAGUUAGUG
rnacentral:rRNA from 1 species